GCCCUGUGGAUAGCUCAGGCAGUAGAGCAUGAGACUCUUAAUCUCAGGGUUGUGGGUUUGAGCCCCAUGUUGGGCA
rnacentral:tRNA from 1 species